AGUGAACGCUGGCGGUAGGCCUAACACAUGCAAGUCGAACGGCAGCACAGUAAGAGCUUGCUCUUACGGGUGGCGAGUGGCGGACGGUUGAGGAAUACAUCGGAAUCUACUUUUUCGUGGGGGAUAACGUAGGGAAACUUACGCUAAUACCGCAUACGACCUACGGGUGAAAGCAGGGGAUCUUCGGACCUUGCGCGACUGAAUGAGCCGAUGUCGGAUUAGCUAGUUGGCGGGGUAAAGGCCCACCAAGGCGACGAUCCGUAGCUGGUCUGAGAGGAUGAUCAGCCACACUGGAACUGAGACACGGUCCAGACUCCUACGGGAGGCAGCAGUGGGGAAUAUUGGACAAUGGGCGCAAGCCUGAUCCAGCCAUACCGCGUGGGUGAAGAAGGCCUUCGGGUUGUAAAGCCCUUUUGUUGGGAAAGAAAAGAAGCAGGUUAAUACCCCGCUGUUCUGACGGUACCAAAAGAAUAAGCACCGGCUAAAUUCGUG
rnacentral:rRNA from 1 species